rnacentral:rRNA from 1 species
AUCAAGGCUGAGGCGUGAUGACGAGGCACUACGGUGCUGAAGCAACAAAUGCCCUGCUUCCAGGAAAAGCCUCUAAGCAUCAGGUAACAUCAAAUCGUACCCCAAACCGACACAGGUGGUCAGGUAGAGAAUACCAAGGCGCUUGAGAGAACUCGGGUGAAGGAACUAGGCAAAAUGGUGCCGUAACUUCGGGAGAAGGCACGCUGAUAUGUAGGUGAAGCGACUUGCUCGUGGAGCUGAAAUCAGUCGAAGAUACCAGCUGGCUGCAACUGUUUAUUAAAAACACAGCACUGUGCAAACACGAAAGUGGACGUAUACGGUGUGACGCCUGCCCGGUGCCGGAAGGUUAAUUGAUGGGGUUAGCGGUAACGCGAAGCUCUUGAUCGAAGCCCCGGUAAACGGCGGCCGUAACUAUAACGGUCCUAAGGUAGCGAAAUUCCUUGUCGGGUAAGUUCCGACCUGCACGAAUGGCGUAAUGAUGGCCAGGCUGUCUCCACCCGAGACUCAGUGAAAUUGAACUCGCUGUGAAGAUGCAGUGUACCCGCGGCAAGACGGAAAGACCCCGUGAACCUUUACUAUAGCUUGACACUGAACAUUGAGCCUUGAUGUGUAGGAUAGGUGGGAGGCUUUGAAGUGUGGACGCCAGUCUGCAUGGAGCCGGCCUUGAAAUACCACCCUUUAAUGUUUGAUGUUCUAACGUUGGCCCCUGAUCGGGGUUGCGGACAGUGUCUGGUGGGUAGUUUGACUGGGGCGGUCUCCUCCUAAAGAGUAACGGAGGAGCACGAAGGUUGGCUAAUCCUGGUCGGACAUCAGGAGGUUAGUGCAAUGGCAUAAGCCAGCUUGACUGCGAGCGUGACGGCGCGAGCAGGUGCGAAAGCAGGUCAUAGUGAUCCGGUGGUUCUGAAUGGAAGGGCCAUCGCUCAACGGAUAAAAGGUACUCCGGGGAUAACAGGCUGAUACCGCCCAAGAGUUCAUAUCGACGGCGGUGUUUGGCACCUCGAUGUCGGCUCAUCACAUCCUGGGGCUGAAGUAGGUCCCAAGGGUAUGGCUGUUCGCCAUUUAAAGUGGUACGCGAGCUGGGUUUAGAACGUCGUGAGACAGUUCGGUCCCUAUCUGCCGUGGGCGCUGGAGAACUGAGGGGGGCUGCUCCUAGUACGAGAGGACCGGAGUGGACGCAUCACUGGUGUUCGGGUUGUCAUGCCAAUGGCACUGCCCGGUAGCUAAAUGCGGAAGAGAUAAGUGCUGAAAGCAUCUAAGCACGAAACUUGCCCCGAGAUGAGUUCUCCCUGAGACUUAGAGUCUCCUGAAGGAACGUUGAAGACGACGACGUUGAUAGGCCGGGUGUGUAAGCGCAGCGAUGCGUUGAGCUAACCGGUACUAAUGAACCGUGAGGCUUAACCUU